AUAAAAAAUGCGUUGGCGUGUCAGAUACGUACGCGGCAGGACCUGAUCUGUGGGCCAGGAAAGCGGCCUCCGUCGGUUGUGUGUGCCGGCGACAGGGACGGCGGUCGCUGAGUCUUCCUGAUCCGUGGAUCAGAUCGUUCUCCAGAAAGUUUGUCCGUGGACCAUGAAGUUUGCUUUCCACCGCAGGUUGGUAUGGAGAUUUAUUAUGCGCACGGUGGUCUUGAUGUAUGAUUCCACUUCGUCUCAGGGGUGAAGGGGUGAGCGACUGCCUGCGGAGAAGAAUUCGUGCACAGUGGGGCGACUUGAUUUCCUGGCGCAUUGGAGUUUCUAAUGCAGCCAGCAGAUUCCAAUUCGUUGAGGAAGUUGACGAGAGCACAACCCAAAUGGAUCUGGUGUACACACACACCGGGCGGCUGCGGCCGAGGUCGCAGCACCGGCGGUAAAAGUGGACGCUGAAAUCUGCGCGGGGGUAAGGGCCAGGGAGAUCAGACGGGAAACAUCACAGCAGGAAUCCGAGCAUUAGACCGGCAAGAUGAACCCACGGCCCCCUGGUUGGGCAAAGAGGUGUUCUGCUAUGCCUUCUUAUGGCAAUUGGAAUAUCUGCACUAAUUCUGCAGUUUCACUGUUAAUAAGCACAUUAAUACGCGUCGAAAUACUCAUAUUAUGCAUCCUCUUUUUCUCGAAGGUAGAACCAAAAUGGUUGGACCUGCAGUAAAGCUUCUACUUCUUAUUUCUGCCAGUGAUCUUUAUCUUAUGGUCGAUAUUUGUCAUCCCGGAAAGUGCUUUUGCUGGAUUAUUAUAUGGCUUUUCUAUUACCAAUAAUGGCCACAUUCGGUGCAGUUGGAGAAGCCACUUGUUUAUUGCUUUGUGGAUGGAAGUGGAACAUGGAGUACUAUUAUUGGAAUUUCUACAGUGGCCAGGGAUUGGAAAAAAAAAUUAUUUUCCACUCCUAUUUAUCAGUUAUGGAUGACCCCGUCUUCGGACACUUCCUGGUUGAAAGGCAUAUGAGAUAUGGUUUGCUUCUUGUUUGUGUUUGGUAGCUCUUUACCAUUGUGCCUCAAAAUCAGAUAACUUUUCUGUGUUACCUUUCCACUUUGGUCCUUUUAACAUAUAUGACCUUCAUCACAUAUGCAAACUAGCACCUUUUAUGCCUGACCUCAGAGCUGAGAGAACCGAGCCCUAGAUGCAAUGCUCUGUAAGUCCGUAUUUAGGCAGCAGGCAGCACAUUUCUCUUCCUUGAAGAAUUAUAAAUUGUAAAUGUUGAGGACAAAUAUCUAUCUGGAGAUUGCGUCAUAUUCCCGCGACAUUGUUAA